rnacentral:rRNA from 1 species
GCCUACACAUGCAAGUCGAGGGGUAACAGAGGUAGCUUGCUACUUGCUGACGACCGGCGCACGGGUGCGUAACGCGUAUACAAUCUGCCUUGUACUGAGGGAUAGCCCGAAGAAAUUUGGAUUAAUACCUCAUGGUAUUAUUGAUUCGCAUGGAUUAAUAAUUAAAGGUUACGGUACAAGAUGAGUAUGCGUCCUAUUAGCUAGAUGGAGAGGUAACGGCUCCCCAUGGCGACGAUAGGUAGGGGUCCUGAGAGGGAGAUCCCCCACACUGGUACUGAGACACGGACCAGACUCCUACGGGAGGCAGCAGUGAGGAAUAUUGGACAAUGGGCGCAAGCCUGAUCCAGCCAUGCCGCGUGCAGGAAGACGGCCCUAUGGGUUGUAAACUGCUUUUAUACGGGAAGAAACCUACCCUCGUGAGGGUAGCUGACGGUACCGUAAGAAUAAGCACCGGCUAACUCCGUGCCAGCAGCCGCGGUAAUACGGAGGGUGCAAGCGUUAUCCGGAAUCAUUGGGUUUAAAGGGUCCGUAGGCGGGUAAAUAAGUCAGUGGUGAAAUGCAGAGGCUCAACUUCGGCACUGCCAUUGAUACUGUUUAUCUUGAAUUAUUGUGAAGUGGUUAGAAUAUGUAGUGUAGCGGUGAAAUGCUUAGAUAUUACAUAGAAUACCGAUUGCGAAAGCAGAUCACUAACAAUAUAUUGACGCUGAUGGACGAAAGCGUGGGUAGCGAACAGGAUUAGAUACCCUGGUAGUCCACGCCGUAAACGAUGGUUACUAGCUGUUUGGAUCGAUUGAGAUCUGAGUGGCCAAGCGAAAGUGAUAAGUAACCCACCUGGGGAGUACGUUCGCAGAUGAACUCAAGGAUUGACGGGGCCGCACAGCGUGGAGCAUGUGGUUUAUUCGAUGAUACGCGAGGACUUACAGGCUAAUGCAGUAUGACAGACUGGAAACAGUUUUUCUCGACAUAUGCAGUGCUGCAUGUGUCGUCAGCUCGUGCGUGAGUGUCAGUAGUCUAUACGAGCGCACCUAUUGCUAGUGCAGCGAGUCAGUCGGACUCUAGCGACUGCGUGCCAACCGUAGGAGGUGGGGAUGAGGUCAAUCUAUCUGGCUUCUUCUGGCUACACUGCUCAAUGGUAGGGACGAGAAGAGACA